GGUGGCUUAGUGGUAGAGUGCUUGCCUUGCAUGCAUGAGGUCUUGGGUUUGAUUCCUCAGCACCA
rnacentral:tRNA from 1 species